CUUCAGCGAGCCGAGCAGCAGGGGCCGGCCGGCGGGCCGGUCCUGCCCGUACGUGGCCAGCAGGGCCUGUGCCUC
rnacentral:antisense_RNA from 2 species